UACGAGGGGGCGAGCGUUGUUCGGAAUUAUUGGGCGUAAAGGGUGCGUAGGCGGUUUGUCGCGUCUGCUGUGAAACCCGAGGCUCAACCUCGGGCCUGCAGUGGGUACGGGCAGACUAGAGUGCGGUAGGGAGAUUGGAAUUCCUGGUGUAGCGGUGGAAUGCGCAGAUAUCAGGAGGAACACCAAUGGCGAAGGCAGAUCUCUGGGCCGUAACUGACGCUGAGGAGCGAAAGCAUGGGGAGCGAACAGG
rnacentral:rRNA from 1 species